rnacentral:rRNA from 1 species
GACGGCCCUAUGGGUUGUAAACUGCUUUUAUACGGGAAGAAACACUCCUUCGUGAAGGAGCUUGACGGUACCGUAAGAAUAAGGAUCGGCUAACUCCGUGCCAGCAGCCGCGGUAAUACGGAGGAUCCAAGCGUUAUCCGGAAUCAUUGGGUUUAAAGGGUCCGUAGGCGGGACAAUAAGUCAGCGGUGAAAGUCUGUGGCUCAACCAUAGAAUUGCCAUUGAUACUGUUGUUCUUGAGUGUUUAUGAAGUGGUUGGAAUAUGUAGUGUAGCGGUGAAAUGCAUAGAUAUUACAUAGAACACCGAUUGCGAAGGCAGAUCACUAAUAAAAUACUGACGCUGAUGGACGAAAGCGUAGGUAGCGAACAGGAUUAGAUACCCUGGUAG